AGUCGAUACGGGCAAACUAGAGUGUUGCAGGGGAGACUGGAAUUCCUGGUGUAGCGGUGAAAUGCGCAGAUAUCAGGAGGAACACCGGUGGCGAAGGCGGGUCUCUGGGCAACAUCUGACGUGAGGAGCGAACGCUGGGGAGCGACCAGGAUUAGAUACCCUGGUAGUCACGCCGUAAACGUUGGGCGCUAGGUGUGGGGCUCAUUCCACGAGUUCCGUGCCGCAGUUAACGCAUUAAGCGCCCCGCCUGGGGAGUACGGCCGCAAGGCUAAAACUCAAAGGAAUUGACGGGGGCCCGCACAAGCGGCGGAGCAUGUUGCUUAAUUCGAUGCAACGCGAAGAACCUUACCUAGGCUUGACAUGCACGGAAAUCCUCCAGAGAUGGUGGGUCCGUAAGGGUCGUGCACAGGUGGUGCAUGGUUGUCGUCAGCUCGUGUCGUGAGAUGUUGGGUUAAGUCCCGCAACGAGCGCAACCCUCGUCCUAUGUUGCCAGCGAGUAAUGUCGGGGACUCAUAGGAGACUGCCGGGGUCAACUCGGAGGAAGGUGGGGAUGACGUCAAAUCAUCAUGCCCCUUAUGUCUAGGGCUGCAAACAUGCUACAAUGGCCGGUACAAAGGGCUGCGAUACCGCGAGGUGGAGCGAAUCCCAAAAAGCCGGUCUCAGUUCGGAUUGGGGUCUGCAACUCGACUGCGUGAAGUUGGAAUCGCUAGUAAUCGCGGAUCGGCAUGUCGCGGUGAAUACGUUCCCGGGUCUUGUACACACCGCCCGUCACACCAUGGGAGCGGGUUUUACCAGAAG
rnacentral:rRNA from 1 species